AGGCUGUUUCUGACAAAUUAAUCAUAGUGUGCUUCAUUUGGGAGAGAAACAAAUAAAAGCAUCAAUAAAAGGGCAGUUACCUCUGAAGGAUGACAGACUGCAAUUAGCUGACUUCCAGUUUCAGGAAGCAUAGGAUGAAGAAUCAAGAAUCUAUGCUGCUGACAACUCUCCAGUCUGAGCAAUCCUCACUUGGCCUGUACUGACGUAUGGACAUCACUGAACACAAUGACAAAACCACAGUUUCUUCCAGUGAAAGAUUUAUUCUCACUAAGAAGGUUUUGUGCUAUCUGGUUUGUGUUACCCAUCUAAUAAUAGCUCUGUUUAUUAUUAAACUAUAUGCUAUGAUUAUGGUUAGAAUGCAAGUGGAGCUGGCAUUUUCUCAUUCAUAAAACUUGCUUUAGGUUGAUUCUGAUGCAAUGUAUUUUUUUCUGGAAACAUGUUGAAUAAUACAAGGACAAAUGGUGUUAUAUUUGGCUUAUUUUUGUUGUUUGUUUGUUUGUUUUCCCCACGUUUUGAAAUUUUUCAGGUGCCUUGAAUGCAUCAUUAUCUAUUAAGGGCAUUGCAGUUUUAAAAAGUCACACCUGUGCACAGUUCUGCUGAGAUCAAUAGGGCCUGUUCCAGGAUGAAGUUUCCUAAUAUGUAGCAGAGGCACCGUAUAAUUUUCUUCCUAUGUUUUAUGAGUAUUAGUUUGUACGCUGAGUGUUAGCUCUUUAAUUGCACUGUAUUUUAUUUGUAAUACAAUUCUAACAAAAGACUGCAAUUUUUAUUUUAUUUUUUUACUCAAAUUAAAAGUAAUGGGGCAAAACAGCCAUUAAAAGACAUUAUCCAGCUCCAGUGGCUUAAAAAAUUGGUUUUUCUUCAACAUAUUGCAAGGUGAUUGUGAAAUAUUGAAAUGCAGCUUCUCAUACUAGCAACAAACAUAUGCUUAUGCUUACUUAUAAUUCUUUUUCUCUAUUUCAACUCUUUAUUUUAUUUUUUCUUCACCAAAGGGGAAAUAUAAAUUGCUUGUAUUAUUAACCACUUGCCAAUCAGUGUAGUUAUGGUGUUUUCAGUUAAGCUAGAUGGGUCAUAUUUGCAUCCAAAAACGCAGAAAUCUUGCCUGCAAUUUUAGAGAAUUAUUGUGAAAUGUUCUCUCAUGCUUCCACCUCAGCACUGCUUUUUCAAUAUAAUU